CCUACGGGAGGCAGCAGUGAGGAAUAUUGGUCAAUGGGCGUAAGCCUGAACCAGCCAAGUCGCGUGAGGGAUGAAGGUUCUAUGGAUCGUAAACCUCUUUUAUAAGGGAAUAAAGUGCGGGACGUGUCCCGUUUUGUAUGUACCUUAUGAAUAAGGAUCGGCUAACUCCGUGCCAGCAGCCGCGGUAAUACGGAGGAUCCGAGCGUUAUCCGGAUUUAUUGGGUUUAAAGGGUGCGUAGGCGGCCUUUUAAGUCAGCGGUGAAAGUCUGUGGCUCAACCAUAGAAUUGCCGUUGAAACUGGGAGGCUUGAGUAUGUUUGAGGCAGGCGGAAUGCGUGGUGUAGCGGUGAAAUGCUUAGAUAUCACGCAGAACCACGAUUGCGAAGGCAGCCUGCCAAGCCAUGACUGACAUUGAUGCUCGAAAGUGUGGGUAUCAAACAGGAUUAGAUACCCGGGUAGUC
rnacentral:rRNA from 1 species